rnacentral:rRNA from 1 species
ACCUACAGCCAAACCACCCUGAACGCGCAUGAUUUCAUCCAAUCUUGGAAGCUAAGCAGGGUCUAGCCUGGUUAGUACUUGGAUAGGAGAAAAUACAACCUAUCAAACUUGGCAUGAUGAGAAACAGAAACUC